rnacentral:rRNA from 1 species
UACGUAGGUGGCAAGCGUUGUCCGGAAUUAUUGGGCGUAAAGCGCGCGCAGGCGGUCCUUUAAGUCUGAUGUGAAAGCCCACGGCUCAACCGUGGAGGGUCAUUGGAAACUGGGGGACUUGAGUGCAGAAGAGGAAAGCGGAAUUCCACGUGUAGCGGUGAAAUGCGUAGAGAUGUGGAGGAACACCAGUGGCGAAGGCGGCCCCCUGGGCCGGCCCUGACACUGAGACGCGAAGGCGUGGGGAGCGAACGGG